UGCCUUAAUACAUGCAAGUCGAGCGGACGGAUGGGAGCUUGCUCCCUGAUGUUAGCGGCGGACGGGUGAGUAACACGUGGGUAACCUGCCUGUAAGACUGGGAUAACUCCGGGAAACCGGGGCUAAUACCGGAUGCUUGAUUGAACCGCAUGGUUCAAUUAUAAAAGGUGGCUUUUAGCUUCCAUUUACAGAUGGACCCGCGGCGCAUUAGCUAGUUGGUGAGGUAACGGCUCACCAAGGCAACGAUGCGUAGCCGACCUGAAAGGGUGAUCGGCCACACUGGGACUGAAACACGGCCCAAACUCCUACGGGAGGCAGCAGUAGGGAAUCUUCCGCAAUGGACGAAAGUCUGACGGAGCAACCCCCCGUGAGUGAUGAAGGUUUUCGGAUCGUAAAACUCUGUUGUUAGGGAAAAACAAGUACCGUUCGAAUAGGGCGGUACCUUGACGGUACCUAACCAAAAAGCCACGGCUAACUACGUGCCAGCAGCCGCGGUAAUACGUAGGUGGCAAGCGUUGUCCGGAAUUAUUGGGCGUAAAGCGCGCGCAGGCGGUUUCUUAAGUCUGAUGUGAAAGCCCCCGGCUCAACCGGGGAGGGUCAUUGGAAACUGGGGAAACUUGAGUGCAGAAGAGGAGAGUGGAAUUUCCACGUGUAGCGGUGAAAUGCGUAGAGAUGUGGAGGAACACCAGUGGCGAAGGCGACUCUCUGGUCUGUAACUGACGCUGAGGCGCGAAAGCGUGGGGAGCGAACAGGAUUAGAUACCCUGGUAGUCCACGCCGUAAACGAUGAGUGCUAAGUGUUAGAGGGUUUCCGCCCUUUAGUGCUGCAGCAAACGCAUUAAGCACUCCGCCUGGGGAGUACGGUCGCAAGACUGAAACUCAAAGGAAUUGACGGGGGCCCGCACAAGCGGUGGAGCAUGUGGUUUAAUUCGAAGCAACGCGAAGAACCUUACCAGGUCUUGACAUCCUCUGACAACCCUAGAGAUAGGGCUUCCCCUUCGGGGC
rnacentral:rRNA from 1 species